rnacentral:lncRNA from 1 species
GGACAGAAUUUUCAAAUAUAAUAUACUACAUAUAAUUGAAACAGACAUCAUCUUGGGGAAGAAACAUACAUACAGCUAAUGAGUUUAAAUUUUACAACAUCAUCAUCAUCACAAGCCUUAUAGGCAUAUACUCUGGUUUUUAUUUUUAUUUUCCCUUGAAAACAAAGAUUCAUACACACAUACAUACAUAGGUUGGUUUGAAUAGCUAAAAGAUUACUAUCAUACAUGCUUUCACGAUUGAGAAAGUUGCUUAAUCUUUUUCUCGAGCUCCACCUUAUUGGCUCCCACAAACCUCUCAACUUCCUUUCCUUCCUUCCAAGCCACGAACGUCGGCAUCGCCCUCACCUCAUACUCCUCCGCCACACCCUUUAACGAUAAAACCAUAACACAAAAAUAUUUUUUUUAAGAAAAAAUUGAGAAUCAUUAAGGCCCCUUCGUUUGCAGAAAAAGAAGGCAAAAAAAAAAAAAAGAGAGAAAUGAAGUAAAAUAAUCUGAGAUCGAUGCUUUUACCGUAUAUUUUAAUUCAAAAUUUCAUCUCAUUUAACUUUCAUUAAUCUUCUUUCCACUCUAUCGAGCUGAGCCAAGGGAAACUAACAAAAGUAAUUGGAUUGAAUAAAGAAAAGAGAGAAUAUGGAAGAGAAAAUCACAGAUAAUUCUUCCACGUCGAUUUUGACGUAGUCAGCGUUUGGAUACUUUGCGGCCAUCUCGUGAAACAGUGGAGUGAUGAAUUUGCAAGGGCCACACCAGGACGCCGUGAAAAAAAUCACAACCUGAUUUUUAUUUAUGUUGCAGUUCAAAAGAAAAUGUUGAGAUUGAGAUGAAGAAGCAUGCACGUAUGUACAUAUAUAUAGAAACGCAAUUAAUUAAAUAAAGUUGAGAUGUACGUACUGGCUUAGGGGAGUCUUUGAUCUCUUUCCAGUAGCUCUGCCAGCUCUCCGCGGAGUCGAACGCUUUCACGUGAUCAGAACUCCUCGCUUUCACGUCAGGAUUCCCCGCUUUCACGUCAGGAUUCUCCGCCUCGGUGGCGCUGGGGGAAGAAAACAAGGAGCCCAUUCCUUUGCUGCCCUUGCUUAAUCACUACGCCAUUAUUUCUUAUAUAGAUUGGGAAGAUUCUUCAUUUCAUUAUUCAAUCCAAUUAUCAACAUUUUUUUUCCUCACCAUACUAUUGGUAUAAAUUGUCUUUUAUCAAAAACACUGUGACAAAGUUUUGUGAGAGACCAUGUGCAUAUAGGAUGAAUAUUUUAUUUUUUAACAUAAUUUAUUUUAUAUUUAAAUCAUUAAUUAGAAUUUAAACUUGAACCACAAACACACAUGUCAAUAUUAUUUAUAUCAAUUUUUAUUAUUUAAGAAGGAGGUAACAGUUGUUGUUAUCUCCCUUCCCUGAUCCUUAAAUGUUUUAGUCUUCUUUUUUAUUCUAAAAUAUGUUACGUUUAACACUCUAAUGACAACACCAAAACGUAAAUAUCCCAAAGCCAAUUCUCUAAUUAAAGAGAUUAAUUUCCAGGAUUGUAUAUAUUGAUCGACAAUAUUAUUAAGAAAUAAGUGGCUAAGUUCUGUCCGAACUUCAUCUUCAUCAGGCAUAUUGUGGGGUACUAGCCCACUGGCUCCUGAUUCCAUCUUUGUCAUACAAAUUGCAGUAUCUUUCAGGACAAGAUUGUUUUCUGUAUCAGAAACAUACAGCAAAUAGUUCAACUAAUUAUUGAUUGUUUAGUUAGGUUAUGUAUGAUAAAAUUAACUAAAAAGUUAAUUGAAAUUUAAAAAGUUAAUUAGAAGUUAAAAAACUAAGGCUGAAAAUUAGUUAAAAACUAAAAAAUUAAUUAUCUUAUUCAAUUAUAAAUAUUUGAUAAAACAAUUUAUUAAAGUAGAAAAAUAUGUAAAAUUCCAUAAAUGAAUAUAUUUAUGUGAUAUUUUAUACAAAUUUUAAUUUUAUUUUCUUGAUAAAAAUACAUUUUCUAGUAUUUAUAAUUUUAGUAUUAAGUUAAAUUUAAACACUUGUGGUUUUUAUUUAUAAAAUAUUAAAAAAACUACGUAAAUAUAUUAUAUAUCACUGUCAAUAUCAUAUAUAAUAAAAAGGUAAAAAGGAGAACAUCCUAUAUAUCAUAUGUAAAAAGAGUAAAAUAAUAAAAUUUUACCUCAAAAGAAAAAAGAUUAAAAACAAAAUCUAAUAAAUGUUUCAAAGCCAAAAAAAAAAAAUUAACAUAAAAAAUUAAAAAUUAAUGUUUUAAAAAACACUAGGGCAUAAAAAUUGUCAAACACUAUUAAAAAAGUUUGGUUACCAAACAAAUAAACACUUUUAUCAUACAAGUUAAUCCAUAUUGAAUUCAAGAAAAUAAUGAGAAUUGUGAUUGCAAGUUUAUUUUCCUGAUAGAAAAUUAGUUUAAGAAACAUGUUGAUUUCAGGCUGAGAAAUAGAAUUUUCAAAAUAAUAUCUUCCGUCAAUUUUUUUUAAGAAAACUCUCCAGAUUGAUUGGGACGCACUGUUGUAACUUGUAUACACUAUGCAAUACUUUAGAAUGGUGUAUAUUUCAUAGAUCUGCCACUUCCUCUUGAGAUAAAUUACCAAACUACACUAUUAGCUAAUUAAAACCAAUCUAAAUAUGAUUUUAAAUUAAUUAUAACAAAAAUCAAUAAUAUUAUCGUAUAAUAGUGUUAAAAAUAUUUAAACUAUUAAUACAUUCUAUUUAAAUUGGUUAGCCAAAGAAGGGAGCUUUUUCUUCUAAUGAUUCUUGCCAAGUUUGGGAUCCUACUUAGUUCUAUCUGUUUAGCGGAUGCUCUAAGCAUCCACUUUGUUAGGCUUUAGACUUUCAUGUUAUUCUUUUCGUUCCUUCACUCAUAAAAGUUAAAAAAAAAAAAAAAAUCUAUUUAAAUUCAUAGCUCGAAGAAGAAAUCGUUAUGAGCGCAUUUAUUACCAAUUCGUAAGCUGCAAACGGAUUGCCAAAUUCAAAAGAGCAGAACGAGGAGAUGAGGAGUAAAAUAAAACAAAACAAAAUAAAAGCUAUGAUGAGAUGGAACAAAAUUAUUGAUGCAUCUGAUUCUCCUCCCAAAUUGGAGGAAAAGUAAAUUAAAGAUAUAUACAAUAGAAUGGGAUAGAAAAGAUUCCAAUAAAUUUCAUCAUAUUUCAUCCUUUUACUGACCAGUCCAAACAUCGCAUAAAUAUAACUUUUAAAUGAUUAUUGUAAAAGCCAAUAAUUAUAUUAUUUAUUCAUGACAACCCAUAAUUAAACCAAAAGUAUAACUUUUUUAUGCUAUUUAUGUAUUCCAGUUAAAUUCAAGUCCCUAUAUAAUCCUCCAGAAAGAUAUCGUUCUUAGGCCUGUUUGUUUGUUUAACUAAAAAAAUUCAAAUAUUUUGGGAUAAUAGUGGUAAGAAAAUUUAGUUAUUUUCAAAGAUGGCCUAUUCAGGUCACAAGGAAGUUGCAAUGCCAAAACAUUAACCAGCCAUUUGCAUUCUUUGGAGCUACCACCAUAUCACACAUUGAAGAAAGAAGUAAUUAAACAAAAACACAAUACACCCACAACACAAACACAGAGUGAGACAGUAUUUUCAAUUUCUAUAUAACAAUUUUGCUAAAAUAUGAAACAGACACCAUCUUCCUGAAGAAACAACCCAACCAGUUUAAAAUUUUACAACCCCAUCCAUCAUCAUCAUCAUCAUAACACUAUAGCCAAAUGUAACAAAUUUAAACACUGUUUUAAUAUUCUUUUCACCUUGGAGAGCAAGAUAAAUAGCUGAAUAAAUAGGAUUACAGAGCUAAAAUUUAAAAUAAAAUAACUAAAAUUAUAUAUUUUUUAAAAUAACAUAACAAUAUUUAAAUUUUAAAAUAAAACAACUAAAAUUACAUAUCCAACAAAAUUGGAGAACCAAGCCCAUUAAAUAGAAAAGCAAAACACGCACAGAAUAGAAGAGUGGGACAGAAUUUUCAAAUACAAUAUACUAUAUAUAAUUGAAACAGACAUCAUCUUGGGGAAGAAACAUACAUACAGCCAAUGAGUUUAAAUUUUAUAACAUCAUCAUCAACACAAGCCUUAUAGGCAUAAACUCUGGUUUUUAUUUUUAUUUUCCCUUGAAACGAAAGAUACAUACACACAUACAUACAUAGGUUGGUUUGAAUAGCUAAAAGAUUACUAGCAUAUGUGUUGAUUGAUUCCAUGUUUUCACAAUUGAUAAUGUUUCUUAAUCUUGUUCUGGAGCUCG